AUUUGGGUCAGAUAACUCACACCGGAAUCAGCCCGAGCCCCAAGUAAUGCAUUUGGGCCAGAUAACUCACACCGGAUUCGGCCCGAGCUCAAUCCCCGCAUCCUCGGGCCACAUGAUUUCGGCCGAGUCUGACUCAGCCGAGUGCCCCGACACACAGCCGGAAUCCGCCCAGAUCCACUGUGCUAGCUGGGGUGGGACAAUAUUCCACAGGCCACAAUCGACAGCUUGAUCAACACUAUGCAAAGGAGAAGUGUCCCAGAGAAGGAGCAGCAGCAGCAGGAGCAGCAGCAGGAGAGGGCAGGAGCAGCAACAGCAGCAGGAGCAGCAGGAGAGGGCAGGAGCAGCAGCAGCAGCUACCCCCUUCUCAUGUAAUGGGGUAGGGCCAACCCAAGGAUCCCGAAAUGCACGGACUGUGUUAGUGGGGGAACAGGAAGUUCCCGACAGGCACGCACCAUUCUUCAGAAUUUUAAAAAAGCGCCAGAACUGUGCAGUUAAGAAGGUAUGAGGCUAGUAACAUCAACAGUGAGGACAAACCCAGCCCUCCUCUCUCCUUCUGCACUGAGUCCAAACCUACAGUCGCUGGGUCCUGAUUGCGACAGUGGAGCCCAGUUUGCACUGCAGGGUCCAGAGAUGGCAUCAGUGAAGUUGGAGGACUGCAGUCAAACCCUGGAGCUGAAUGUCAACAUUAAAGAUGAAGAAGAGGAGGAGAAGAUUGGGACAUCUGUUUCUCAUGUACUUGCCGACUCUGGUAUGAGGCCGGUAACAUCAACAGUGAGGACAAACGCAGGCCUCCUCUCUCCUUCCACACUGACUCUAAACCUACAGUCACUGGGUCCUGAUUGUGACAGUGGAGCC